rnacentral:rRNA from 1 species
CCUACGGGUGGCAGCAGUGAGGAAUAUUGGUCAAUGGACGAGAGUCUGAACCAGCCAAGUAGCGUGAAGGAUGACUGCCCUAUGGGUUGUAAACUUCUUUUAUAAAGGAAUAAAACGAGGCACGUGUGCCUUUUUGCAUGUACUUUAUGAAUAAGGCUCGGCUAACUCCGUGCCAGCAGCCGCGGUAAUACGGAGGAUCCGAGCGUUAUCCGGAUUUAUUGGGUUUAAAGGGAGCGUAGAUGGGUUGUUAAGUCAGUUGUGAAAGUUUGCGGCUCAACCGUAAAAUUGCAAUUGAUACUGGCAGUCGUGAGUACAGUUGAGGUAGGCGGAAUUCGUGGUGUAGCGGUGAAAUGCUUAGAUAUCACGAAGAACCCCGAUUGCGAAGGCAGCUUACUAAACUGUGACUGACAUUGAUGCUCGAAAGUGUGGGUAUCAAACAGGAUUAGAUACCCCAGUAGUC